UUUUUUUUUUUGAAUCUUUGGGAAAAAACUUCUUAAAAAGGUAGAAAAAUAUUUUUUUUUUAAAUUUUGAUUUGACUUGUGGAUUUUCGAAAGAAGGAUUUUUAAGAAAACAUUUCGGAUUUUUGAGUUUCUCUUCUUUUUUUUUUUUCUCUUUUAAUUUAUGAAAGUACUUUUAAAGAAAAACAAUUUCUCAAUUUUUACGGACAUUUACAAAAGAAAGACUUCUAAAGAAGAAAAGAAUUUCUUUUGGAUUUUUGGUUCCGAUUCUUUUUGUUUUUUUUUUUGGAAAAAUACUUCAAAAUGAAGGAAACCCGUAUUUGGAUUUUGAUUGAUUUCUUUUUUAUUUUAUUUUUCGCAAGAAAGACUUCGGAAAGAAAGAAACUACUUUUUUUUUUUAGUUUUAUAAAAACAUUUUUUUUUUUGCAUUUUCUAAUGAAAGAUUUCUAAAGAAGGAACUAAAGGAAAUUAUUUUUGGAUUUUUAAAAAUUGGGGUCGGAACCGAUGAGGUUUGCCUACUUAUCUCACAUCCGGUGAGAAUCAGACCCGCGUAGUUCGGUCAAUUUUGAUGGAACAUGGGAAGCAUGACACUUGAGAUUUUGGGCUCAUUUUGAAAUGACCUUGUUCUUUUCUUUUUCCCUUUUUCAGAAUUUCGGGAGAGUUUCGAAAAUUUUCAAAUACCUACCUCUCACUCUUGUUUUUGAUUUUUGAUUUUUUCCUUUUUUUUCUUUUUGAUUUUCUUUCCAUAUUCUAGAAGCCGAUCAACAUGCAAACUGAAACAAACAGAUGCGCAAGUAGCACGUAAGAUGGAUAAGGAUGAUCUUUUUAAUUUGGGUACACAUGUCCUAGACGGACCCAACUCCUGUGUUGAGUCCCCAAAGUCAGAUGCACGUGAUGCAAACAAGCAUUCCUACUAGGGAUCCGACAUGAUGCUAUGUUAUUCUAGGUUUAAAACCUGGGUGUAUUUGUUCUAGACCUGACUUACCCGAGCGGACAGUUCGCGCCNNNNNNNNNNNNNNNNNNNNNNNNNAAGUGCACACUUCCAGAUGAUUUAGAAGACUCGGGGAGAAGAAGGGUUUUAUAACAGUUUAUAUACAGUUCACACAAUAUCAAAGCAGUAAAAAACAACAUUUAGCACAUUAGGCUUGAACACGUAAAAAUCAGAUAAUAAAUAAAAGUCAACUAUAACAGUUAUUCUAAGCUCGAAUUGUGAACCCUGAACCAGAGAUUCUGGGUUCGAUCCCUAGCAGAGUCGCCAGAGCUGUCACACCUCCUUUUUACUACCCCAAGGGUAUAUGAGAGUUUUUACAAUUAAAGUGACAUAAAUCGAAAUAUGAUCAAUUAAUUUAUCAGAGUCGCCACUUGGAAUAGUUUAUUUGGUGUCCCAAGUCACCGAUUUAUUUUAAAAUCCCAAAUCGAGAAAAUUUCGACUUUACUUUAUAAGUCUGCGAACCAGAAAUUCUAGAUAAGGAAUUAUGUUAACCUAGGAGAAGGUGUUAGGCACUCCCGGGUUCCGUGGUUCUAGCACAGUCGCUUAAACUAUUAAUAAUUGGCCUAUUAUCUGAUUUACUACAUGUUUAAACCUAUUGUGCAUUUUUAAAUUUUAUAACCGCUUUUAAUUAUUUAUGAAAUUAUUCUGGAACAAGUUACGAUUGUCGUACACUUGCCGUUUUGGGACACAACGCAAAUCACGCUACAUGAAAUGCACCCGCAAUUCGCGACAUGUUUAUUUUAUUAAUAAUAUUUGGAGUUGUUAUGAUUGAGUCGCAUAAAAUGCACACCCGAAUUUUGGGAUUAGAUAUCGUGACCAUGCCACGGGAACAAUAUCCAUGGCCACGAUGAUUUAUUAAUCACGCUUAAAGACAGCUACUAUGUGAGAUAUAACUCUAAAACUAAUUUAAGACUUUGUGGGUCCAUAUAUUAUGGGAUUUUGUGGAUGAAGUGUAGGGCCAAAUUAAUUGGAAAUUAAUAAGAGAAUCAGUUUUGUACCAAUUCAACCAACAAAGGCAAGAACUGCAAGAACGACAAUCAUGAGAUGUCACCUACUAAACAGGACACACCUACUGUUGAACUUUUGGGGUACUUUUGAUCUUAAUGUAGAUCUUGUCUAAAUAAAGUGCUUUGAGAUGUCUAUUGUGAUAAGCAUAAUUUCAUUAUGUCUUGCUUCUCAAGAUAAUUUCUUUUUGCUAAUUAGUUUCCUUCAGAAAAACUUAAUGAAUAUGCAAUGUGCAUCCUAUGUCUUCCCCAUUUUGAAUCAUAGCCAAGUCAGUAGAUCUCUCACAUCCCGACAAUUCCAUGUCAGUCUAAGGAGUGAGUCAUUGUUUAGUUUUACGUUAAUAUCUCACUGAAUUUAACAUGUUUUCUUAUUCCACUCUUAAACUAAUUUGAUAUCCCACUUGUGUGUUUUAUGUGUAAAAUACUCGUUUAUCUCACCCCGGGCUGUUUCUUUUCUUUUUUUUGGUCCAAUACAUAUGUACAUUCACGAAGUUGAAGUUUUUACAUAUAAAAAGAAGAAUCAAAGUAAAUGAAUAAUAAGUAAAGGGAUAACAAAAAAGACUAAGAUUUGAACAAUUCCAAUGACUCACGUUAAUUAAUAUGCAACUUGAAUUGAAAUUGUGAAGAAUUGACCACAAAUAGACCUUGCAAAAAUUUUCAGCAGUAAAUAAACCAAAAUGCAACAACUUUUUGCCAUGAUACUACCACAAAAUCUCCAUUAAAAUACCUCUAAAACAGUCAUGGAAUCCCUACAAAUAAAAUAUAAAAAAAAUCCCUACAAAUCCAACAUAAAAACAGCCCUUUAAAAAUCGCCUCUCAAGCCAUGAAUCGCCUCUAAAACUCCAGCAACAUUAUUCAUUAAAAAAAAAAAAAAACCUUCCAGAACACCACCAUUUUAGCUCAAAAUUCCAGCAACCAAUUCUACUACAACAAAAGCUUAAUAGUGCUCAAAAUAAAUUUAUACUUGUCCCCAGAUUUGUGCAUUAGUUCAACACAUAAAAAGUAAUUCAAAGCAAAGUCAAAUCUACAAUCAAUCAUUGGAGAACAUUUUUAAAUACAUGAAUAAACUACAACAACUUUAUAAAAAUAUAACAUGCCAAAACAGUGAUUACAUUACUUUAAAGUUGAAUUGAUACCUUGGCAGUAGUAGCAAGGUCUUAAGAAUAGCAACAUAAAGGCCUAGAAUCAUCUACAACUACGGGCUGAAGAAGCUGCAACAAACAGUAAUAAAUCGCAGAUGGAUCCAUUUUGAAAACCCAGAAAUGUAAGAGAAACUGUAGCUUUGAAACAGCUGCAACUCUUCGAAUUAUUUUGAAUUUAAAAUCCACCCAAAAUUCUACUGUUGUUCCUUCUUCAUUUCAGAGUUUCUUCUUUAUUUAUUUAUUUUGGUUUCGAAAUCUCAGAUGUGGGUGUUUAUCAGAGUAAAAUGAGGGACAGUGAGGGGUUCGAUGUGAGCGAGAGAUGAGGAAGAUAGAGGGGAAACAGGGUUGUUCUUCAGAGAAAUGGAGUUAGAGAGGGGUGUGCCGUUUGCUUUAUUUUUUCAGGGAAGGGGAGCUCUUCUUUUGGGCUUUCUUCCCCGUUUGCGUCCUGCCAUUUAUUGAUGAAAGCGCGGAGGUGUUUUGUUUAAAUGGAGAGCUGAUUUUUAGCCAAGAAUAGGGAGAAGCAGAGAGCUGUUGCGCCAUUUUCAAGCUGUCUAGGGGUCCUUUUUUAUCUGAUGGUUUUCUA
rnacentral:lncRNA from 1 species